CAUGGAAAGACGAUGAUGCUUAACUUCCAAGCACAUAUCCGAAUUGUACUGUGGACACUCUUAAGACUGAGUCUUUUCAUC
ensembl:snoRNA